GAGGCCACCACUCAGGAGGCCGGAAUUUAGAACCAGGAGCUCCUUAUGUACACACUGACUCUCUUUCUUCUAAACCUAGGAAGAGCAAGACCUAUGGUAAUGGGUUGGCGUGCUGGGGUUAGGUGAGGGCAACAGGGGGAAGAAGCUGGGAUUCCCAGGCUGGAAAUGGCGCCAUUUGGCCCCUGGAAAUCCUUUCCCCGGGGAUCUGCUUCUGUUUUAUUUGAACAGCUACAGAUAAAAAUAAGUGAGCAAACCCCAAGCCACUGCACUGUUAGCUGAAGCUUCAAGAGGAAAAAGACAACAUCUACCUGCCCAGCACCGAGCCUGGUGCUGACUGUCCCCCAGAGGCCUCAUGAGCCGUCACCAAACACAUGGAUGGAUGACAGAUGGACAGUGGAUGAGUGGCAAGCGUGGUGCCCACUGCACGGAGGAUGCAGCCAUUAGGUCUCUCGGAGGUUUGUGUGCUUUGCUGUUCCCGGCAGGGACGACUUGGAGGGCAACAGCCUCCUGGUCAGUGCAGGGCCCCGUCCCUGGGUGAAGCAGGGCAGGUGCUCGGCCUGUGCUCCCGAGGCUCUGGCGCAACUGUGAGUGGCCCAGGAUGGCCAUGAAUGCAGCCCAACAUAAAUUCGUAAACUUUCU
rnacentral:lncRNA from 1 species